rnacentral:tRNA from 1 species
GCCUGGGUGGCUCAGUCAGUUAAGCGUCUGAAUUGGGCUCAGGUCAUGAUCUCACUGUUCGUGAGUUCGAGCCCCGCCUCGGGCU